rnacentral:rRNA from 1 species
AUUGAACGCUGGCGGCAGGCCUAACACAUGCAAGUCGAACGGUAACAGGAAGAAGCUUGCUUCUUUGCUGACGAGUGGCGGACGGGUGAGUAAUGUCUGGGAAACUGCCUGAUGGAGGGGGAUAACUACUGGAAACGGUAGCUAAUACCGCAUAACGUCGCAAGACCAAAGAGGGGGACCUUCGGGCCUCUUGCCAUCGGAGGUGCCCAGAUGGGAUUAGCUGGUUGGUGGGGUAACGGCUCACCAAGGCGACGAUCCCUCGCUGGUCUGAGGGGAUGACCAGCCAAACUGGAACUGAGGCACGGUCCAGGCUCCUACGGGAGGCAGCAGUGGGGAAUAUUGCACAAUGGGCGCAAGCCUGAUGCAGCCAUGCCGCGUGUAUGAAGGAGGCCUCGGGUUGUAAAGUACUUUCAGCGGGGAGGAAGGGAGUAAAGUUAAUACCUUUGCUCAUUGACGUUACCCGCAGAAGAAGCACCGGCUAACUCCGUGCCAGCCGCCGCAGUAA